UACGUAGGGUGCGAGCGUUAUCCGGAAUUAUUGGGCGUAAAGAGCUCGUAGGCGGUUUGUCGCGUCUGCCGUGAAAGUCCGGGGCUCAACCCCGGAUCUGCGGUGGGUACGGGCAGACUAGAGUGAUGUAGGGGAGACUGGAAUUCCUGGUGUAGCGGUGAAAUGCGCAGAUAUCAGGAGGAACACCGAUGGCGAAGGCAGGUCUCUGGGCAUUAACUGACGCUGAGGAGCGAAAGCAUGGGGAGCGAACAGG
rnacentral:rRNA from 1 species